UACCAUUUUACCACUACUCUUUCUGAUUCAGCCAUUGCCUUAUUUCUUUGUUUACCUUCCCUGAAGUGGCAUCCAAUGAGUACACCUACCUUAUCAUUUUCUAAUGGUACUUGCCUUGUCUACCAUGAUGACUAAGGGUCCGGAGAAACAGCUGCACCAUGAGAAACAGCAGACAGAUAGAUUACCUACUACCUGACUAAAGGAGGUAGUGAUAAAAAUUAACAGUACAUGCAAGACUUUUGCAAAACCCUGUAAUUGGAAUGAGAACACUUUAGAUCCUUAAUGAGAAUCCAUUGAAGGUUAAAUCUGGUGCCAUAACUAUGGUAAUUCGAGCUCCAAUAACAUAUAUUAAAGUUAAUUGCAGUUAAAAAGCUCUUAGAUUUUGGAAUGGAGGUGUUAGACAUCACAAGGAGAUCCACUUCUUGUCCCAAUCCCUACUUCUUGACUUGAUUCUCUGAGGCCAAAGCAUUUACUUUGAAAAAAAAAAGUUAGAGCAGACCCCAGUUACCUGUUAUCCCAGGUAGAAAUAAUGGAAUAAGAUCCCAUUUUUCUUUUGUUGGGUUUUGGAACUGGGAUCAUGAUUAAAAUGGAUAGUCAGGAACAUUUGUAUUGUUCUUCUAGAGAUGAAAUUCUUGUACUGGAGCAAGAAAGACCAGGGUGAAAGCAUUUGCCAAGAAUGUUUUCAUUGUUCAAAAAUAAAAGUUGAAGGUUCGAAGAACAUCCCUUGUCUCUUAAUCUAAUUAUGGUUCAUUU
rnacentral:ncRNA from 1 species